AUUGAACGCUGGCGGCAGGCCUAACACAUGCAAGUCGGACGGUAGCACAGAGAGCUUGCUCUCGGGUGACGAGUGGCGGACGGGUGAGUAAUGUCUGGGGAUCUGCCCGAUAGAGGGGGAUAACCACUGGAAACGGUGGCUAAUGCCGCAUAACGUCGCAAGACCAAAGAGGGGGACCUUCGGGCCUCUCACUAUCGGAUGAACCCAGAUGGGAUUAGCUAGUAGGCGGGGUAACGGCCCACCUAGGCGACGAUCCCUAGCUGGUCUGAGAGGAUGACCAGCCACACUGGAACUGAGACACGGUCCAGACUCCUACGGGAGGCAGCAGUGGGGAAUAUUGCACAAUGGGCGCAAGCCUGAUGCAGCCAUGCCGCGUGUAUGAAGAAGGCCUUCGGGUUGUAAAGUACUUUCAGCGGAGAGGAAGGCGAUGUGGUUAAUAACCGCGUCGAUUGACGUUACCCGCAGAAGAAGCACCGGCUAACUCCGUGCCAGCAGCCGCCGUAA
rnacentral:rRNA from 1 species